rnacentral:rRNA from 1 species
AACGAACGCUGGCGGCAUGCCUAACACAUGCAAGUCGAACGAGACCUUCGGGUCUAGUGGCGCACGGGUGCGUAACGCGUGGGAACCUGCCUUUAGGUUCGGAAUAACUCAGAGAAAUUUGAGCUAAUACCGGAUGAUGUCUUCGGACCAAAGAUUUAUCGCCUUUAGAUGGGCCCGCGUUGGAUUAGCUAGUUGGUGGGGUAAAGGCCUACCAAGGCGACGAUCCAUAGCUGGUCUGAGAGGAUGAUCAGCCACACUGGGACUGAGACACGGCCCAGACUCCUACGGGAGGCAGCAGUGGGGAAUAGUGGACAAUGGGCGAAAGCCUGAUCCAGCAAUGCCGCGUGAGUGAUGAAGGCCUUAGGGUUGUAAAGCUCUUUUACCCGAGAUGAUAAUGACAGUAUCGGGAGAAUAAGCUCCGGCUAACUCCGUG